UUAGGCGAUAGAAUAUAAAGUUGUACAGUAUAAAAAUCAUGUCUAUGGAGAGUCCUCAUGAAACACUAAAACCCUGUGUGUGUGUGUGUGUGUAUGUGUGUGUGUGUGUGUACAGAUGAAGUGAUGAUAAUCUCAGACAGCGAAGAGGAGGAAGUUGUCAUUCUUCAUGAAGAAGCCCAGAAAUCCACGAAGACUUCUAAACAAAAAUGAACUUUGGCGCUGCAGAGGAUAGAGACGAUCAUAUAUCAGACUCCCAUACCGCUGGACACUAUUUGUUCUUUUUUGUACUAUAAAAUAAACUGAAAUGUGAAAAUA